rnacentral:rRNA from 1 species
UACGAAGGGGACUAGCGUUGUUCGGAUUUACUGGGCGUAAAGGGCUCGUAGGCGGCCAACUAAGUCAGACGUGAAAUCCCUCGGCUUAACCGGGGAACUGCGUCUGAUACUGGUUGGCUUGAAUCCGGGAGAGGGAUGUGGAAUUCCACGUGUAGCGGUGAAAUGACGUGAGAGAUGUGGAGGAACACCAGUGGCGAAGGCGGCUCUUUGGUCUGUAACUGACGCUGAGGCGGCGAAAGCGUGGGAGCGAACG